rnacentral:lncRNA from 1 species
AUGAUGUGCAUUUAAAGAAGUCAAGAAAUGCAAUGAAGCGAGUUGGUCUGAAGACAAAGAAUGUUCAGCUGGCCAAAACUCCCAGAUACCAUGGUAAGCUUGUGUUUUAACUUAUCUAAGGAACUUAGCACAAUCAGCUUUAUAAUUUUAUUUGCAGAUUUUGAAUGUCUUAUGUCUUUUCUUGAAAGUAGUCAAGAGUCCACUUAUUCAGAAAGCUCUGUGUGUCAAAACAUCUGGUGAAUAUGAAACACUUUUUCUCUCAAAUUGAAUCUGGUUAAGCUAAUUUGAUCAUUCUAAUUCACAUUGUUCAGGUGACUGUCUGGAUGAUAACAAUGAAAGCCCUGAUGAGUUAUUUAAACUCAAGCCAGCCCAACCCAGUAUUCUUAGGUGAGACAAUAGAUAUUCCCGUUAACACAUGCAAACACAUCACAAGGUACCUUAUAAGAGAAUUUUGUGUCAUGACUCUCACAGAUACUCUUCAGGAAAAUGUGGCAAUGCAUGAGGAUGAUCAUCCCAAAAGCUCUGCUUCUUCAGGGAAGGAACCAAAGGAAACAAAAUGCAAAGUCACCAUGGAGAAAUUGUUUUAUCUGAAUACUAAGAUACUCCAACAAAUUAAAAUGCUGGAACAGAGACAAGCUGUCAUCAUGAAUGACUUGGCAAAAGUUAAGCCUGUUCUCAUGAAGCGGGCAGAAGAAGAUGCCCAUGAGGAACUUUUUAAACAACAACAGUGCUCCAGCUUUGAAACGUUUGAAGCCUUCUGUCAGAGGCUUGAAGAAGACAAAAAUUAUCAAGAGCUUUAUGUACACUAUCUCAUCCAUACUCACGGCACCUCCAAUAUAGGUGAGAUGGUGAAAGAGGCUUUAAUAAGCAUAGUGUCAGACAAUGUUCUCUGUCUGUAUAACAGAACGGGGAAAGAUGGGAAGAAGGUGUUGCCACCUGUGCUCCUGACAUGUUUGAAAAAAUGUGUCAGGUCUUUUCACAAACAAAAUGAAAUAAAGGUGAAGAAGCUAAAAGUAACCACCAGAACAACACCAGACGCGGAAUGUAUUCGCCAAGUAGAAUUUUUUUGUCCAACGCCAAAACCAGGCUGAAAAGGAAACCAAAUAAAGGAAAAAGCUGACUUUUUGUUUGAUUGUUUUUAUUGAUGGAAAUAAGGAAUGUGGGUGUAAAAGUUUGAGUUAACUGAAUCAUUUUAGAUAACAGUGAACUAACACAAUUAUUGCAUAGUGGUGUUAUAUGGUGAUCUCACAGUAUGAGCACACAGUGACCACAGUAUGAGCACACAGUGAUCACAGUAUGAGCACACAGUGAGUGUGAUGUGACCUCAUAUUUCCACCACAGUAUGAGUGCACUGUGAUUGUGCAGUCACCUCAUGCUGUGAACAAAGUAUGAGCACACAGUGAGAGCUCUUUGUGGUUACACUUUUAGUUCACUGUGACACUCACAUUAUGACCGCACCAUGAGAAUAUUGUGAGCUCAUAGUGACAUCAUUGUGAGAUCAAAUUGUUGACUGGGCAAUUACAGUUGUUUUUAUUAUUGUACAUUAUUCUCCUCAAAUGCUCUCGAAGUUAGAAAAGUGUAGUAGUCUAUACCAAUACCUCAUGUAACUUUAGAGACGGUCCCUAUAUUUGCGAAUAUCGAACAUCCAACGUCAAGCCAACUUUAUGCCCGCUUUUUACUUUUUUUUUUUUUUACUUUCUUCUGUUUUCUUUCCUCUGCAACGGAUGGUUGAUGUCUUUUAACCAGGCAUAUAUGUCCAUCCAUCAAUUAUGAACAUUCAGCCGCAAACAUGAGGUGCGAGCGUUUACAAGUGUGGUCGGGGGGAAUGACAAGGUUUUUUUUUUUUUUUUUUUUUUGAGCACUGCCCCCCAGGGAUUUGCUGCCCUACACAAACUGUGUACUCUGCAUAUAGAGAGCGGUGGUACUGCCUAAAAUGUAAUGUUUCUGUUAAUAUUGGGGGCUGAAAUUCUUCAAGAUUACAUCUUCCUUGGGGAGUCCCUCAAGGUUCGAUUCUUGCUCAAAUUCUUUUCUCCCUUUAUAUGUUACCGUUAGGAGCAAUUUUUCACAAAUAUAAAGUGUCAUUCCAUUGCAACGCUGAUGAUACGCAGAUUUAUUUGCCUGUGAGUGAGUUCAAACUCAAAUUAAAAUUCAAACUCACUUGACACUUUAUUAGCAUGCUUACACAAUGUUAAAGAGGGGGUGAAAAGCUAAUUUUCACUCAAUCUCCUGUUAAUCUUGAGUACGUAUAGAGUAGUACUGCAUCCUCCAUAUCUCCAAAAAGUCUUUAGUUAUAUUAUAUUUAUUAGAGAAAGAUAGUCUGUACUGAUUUUUUCCGGAAAAAAACACGAGCGGCUGGAGGCGUGACGUGUGGGUGGAGCUAAAGAAUCACGAGCACGACUAGGAUUUUGCAUUGAGAGCAUUUGGAAGCUGUGACAUUACCAUCAUCCAAAACAAACCAUGGCUAACAGUAAGAUUCAGCCGUAUAUUUUUGAUCCAGAAUCAGAUCUCGAGGCUGAAAUUGAACAAGAGCAGCAGCAGCAACGACUACAGCAGGACGUCUCUAUGUAGUAUAUAUUGAAACUAUAUAUAUUUGCUUAGCGGUUUUGGAAAGUGACUAAGUUCCACAUUAUGUCGUUUUUUUUUUUUUUUUUAAAGGGGGGGUGAAAUGCUCGUUUUCACUCAAUAUCCUGUUAAUCUUGAGUACCUAUAGAGUAGUACUGCAUCCUUCAUAACACCAAAAAGUCUUUAGUUUUAUUAUAUUUAUAAGAGAAAGAUAGUCUGUACCGAUUUUUCCCGGAAAAACACGAGCGCCUGGAGGCGUCACGUGUGGGCGGAGCUAAAGAACAAGCACGAAUUAUGUCGAUUGCAAGUGUCACAGGUAGCAGAAAGUGCAAGUAGCGAUUGCAACUGACAUUGUAAUUUAGUUUAUUUUUUUCUUGUCUUCGCCACCUGGCUACUGUUGUAAAAUGUUGGGAAAUUCGAACAAAAAGUUAAAAAAAAAAUCAAUAAAAUAAAGAAUAAAGACUGCAAGUGAUGUCACUAGCGCAAGUGCAAGUGUCUGAGAGUGCAAGUGCAAGUCUGCAGCCAGACCCUCUUGCAACUCCGUUGAUGCUCUGUAAAAAUAAACUCCAUCCACUGGUCCCUUAAUGCUGUUUUUUUUUUUGGUAAUCUGUACAGGGUUGUCUUGCCCUGGCAACCGAAAACACACUUUGGUGACAUUUCGCUCUCUCACACUGGUCAGUGAAUGUCUCUGCUCUGGUCUAUGGGCACGCACGCGCUCUUCUGGGAGAAGUGCCCUUAGGACCCAUAUAAGGAAAUUCUGCACCAUCUAACGUCACACGGACCCAUACUCGAAAAAAACUUUCCGAAACUUGUGACAAACCGGAAGGAGUAUUUUUGGAACAAAAAUACUCCUUCAAACGUACAACUUAAUUUUUGAAACUUUGUCCAUGUUUAGCAUGGGAAUCCAACUCUUUAACAGUGUAAAAAUCUCAGUAUGCAUGAAAUAGCAUUUCACCCCCCUUUAAGGAUUGGAUGGCUGCAAUUUUUUUAAAGGUUAAUGAAAAUAAAACUGAUGUUAUUGUGUUUGGCCCUAGAAAACAUGAGGUGCUGCCGUGCUUGAAAGCAAUUUUUUUGACUGGUUUUGUUAAAUCUAAUGUAAAAAAAAAAAAAAGGAUUUGUUCUGGAUAGUGAUUUAAAGUUGGACAGAGAAAUUAACAUUGUGGUGAGAUCUUGUUUUUUUUUUUUUUUUUAUCUAUGUCUGCUAGUUAAGACUAAACCAUUUCUAUCUAGUUCAGAUUUUGAGAGAGCAAUUCCGUCCAUUGUCUUUUCACGAAUGGAUUAUUGUAAUUCACUUUACUAUGGAGUUGACGUUCGAG